UAACCUCUGCGCCAUUGAGACUCUGCAACUACGUAGAUAUUUUUGGUAUUCUGUGUGUCUGAUUAUUAUUGUAAAAUUAAUUAUAAUUGACUUUGAAGAGUAUUAUAUUCUAUUAAUUUUGGGUAAAAGUAUCUCUUGUUGAGUUAAAAUAAUUUCGUGUAAUAUUUUUCACACUUAUGAAGACGGUCAGUGAUUGGUCAGUGUGUGUAAUAAUAGAACCUGCUAUUGGCGGUAUUUUUGCACGAGAUACAGAACAACAAAGACGUGUCUGAUGUUGUGUCUAAAUGUAGGUGAUCAGUGUAUUACGUUGACCUUGACCUGUCGUGGUGGCCAUUUUUUGGGCCGGAUAUUGCGUGCCUUGUUUAGCUAUUCCAGUUACCGCCAUUUUAUGCCAAAAAUAGCCACAACCGGAAGGCACCAAGUAUCCAUAUUUCAUGCUAUUAAGUGUAUAGAAAAGCCGAGGCAGCUUAGAAUUACAUACAGAUCAAAAUCAUCAUAUCUCCAGUUUGAGUUAGUGUGAAGAGAAUUUCAUCUGAAAGCAGUUUAAAAUGAGCACCAAUGCUAAAGAUGCCAUCAUGCAAAGAUUCAUCACUAAUGAAUUCAUAAUUGUGACACCAAGUGCUAAUGUUUGCACGGAACUAUGUGGCUGUGGCGGCGAAAACUUCAGUGAAACAGAAUGUCAAUGUGAAUUGUGCAUUGUUCAUGCAAGCCAUGCAGGCAGUUGUGGUUCUCUGCCUAUGACAAAUCCUUCUGAUAUAGACAGUGACAGAACCGAAACAAUGUCAGAUGUCAGUUCAAGCUGUACAUUGUCAUUGGAUUCUGAAACCACUAACAAUUCAGAUGAUUCAUUUUCAUCAUCAAAGUCA